rnacentral:ribozyme from 1 species
AAAAAUAGAUCGCGUAUCUGGUCUGACGUAUGUGGGCGGAGCAACAAUCUUUUUUUGUUUUUUUUGCAUUUUUUGUUUUUUUCAUAUUU